rnacentral:rRNA from 1 species
GGUUAAGCGACUAAGCGUACACGGUGGAUGCCCUGGCAGUCAGAGGCGAUGAAGGACGUGCUAAUCUGCGAUAAGCGUCGGUAAGGUGAUAUGAACCGUUAUAACCGGCGAUUUCCGAAUGGGGAAACCCAGUGUGUUUCGACACACUAUCAUUAACUGAAUCCAUAGGUUAAUGAGGCGAACCGGGGGAACUGAAACAUCUAAGUACCCCGAGGAAAAGAAAUCAACCGAGAUUCCCCCAGUAGCGGCGAGCGAACGGGGAGCAGCCCAGAGCCUGAAUCAGUAUGUGUGUUAGUGGAAGCGUCUGGAAAGGCGCGCGAUACAGGGUGACAGCCCCGUACACAAAAAUGCACAUAUUGUGAGCUCGAUGAGUAGGGCGGGACACGUGGUAUCCUGUCUGAAUAUGGGGGGACCAUCCUCCAAGGCUAAAUACUCCUGACUGACCGAUAGUGAACCAGUACCGUGAGGGAAAGGCGAAAAGAACCCCGGCGAGGGGAGUGAAAAAGAACCUGAAACCGUGUACGUACAAGCAGUGGGAGCACGCUUAGGCGUGUGACUGCGUACCUUUUGUAUAAUGGGUCAGCGACUUAUAUUCUGUAGCAAGGUUAACCGAAUAGGGGAGCCGAAGGGAAACCGAGUCUUAACUGGGCGUUAAGUUGCAGGGUAUAGACCCGAAACCCGGUGAUCUAGCCAUGGGCAGGUUGAAGGUUGGGUAACACUAACUGGAGGACCGAACCGACUAAUGUUGAAAAAUUAGCGGAUGACUUGUGGCUGGGGGUGAAAGGCCAAUCAAACCGGGAGAUAGCUGGUUCUCCCCGAAAGCUAUUUAGGUAGCGCCUCGUGAAUUCAUCUCCGGGGGUAGAGCACUGUUUCGGCAAGGGGGUCAUCCCGACUUACCAACCCGAUGCAAACUGCGAAUACCGGAGAAUGUUAUCACGGGAGACACACGGCGGGUGCUAACGUCCGUCGUGAAGAGGGAAACAACCCAGACCGCCAGCUAAGGUCCCAAAGUCAUGGUUAAGUGGGAAACGAUGUGGGAAGGCCCAGACAGCCAGGAUGUUGGCUUAGAAGCAGCCAUCAUUUAAAGAAAGCGUAAUAGCUCACUGGUCGAGUCGGCCUGCGCGGAAGAUGUAACGGGGCUAAACCAUGCACCGAAGCUGCGGCAGCGACACUAUGUGUUGUUGGGUAGGGGAGCGUUCUGUAAGCCUGUGAAGGUGUGCUGUGAGGCAUGCUGGAGGUAUCAGAAGUGCGAAUGCUGACAUAAGUAACGAUAAAGCGGGUGAAAAGCCCGCUCGCCGGAAGACCAAGGGUUCCUGUCCAACGUUAAUCGGGGCAGGGUGAGUCGACCCCUAAGGCGAGGCCGAAAGGCGUAGUCGAUGGGAAACAGGUUAAUAUUCCUGUACUUGGUGUUACUGCGAAGGGGGGACGGAGAAGGCUAUGUUGGCCGGGCGACGGUUGUCCCGGUUUAAGCGUGUAGGCUGGUUUUCCAGGCAAAUCCGGAAAAUCAAGGCUGAGGCGUGAUGACGAGGCACUACGGUGCUGAAGCAACAAAUGCCCUGCUUCCAGGAAAAGCCUCUAAGCAUCAGGUAACAUCAAAUCGUACCCCAAACCGACACAGGUGGUCAGGUAGAGAAUACCAAGGCGCUUGAGAGAACUCGGGUGAAGGAACUAGGCAAAAUGGUGCCGUAACUUCGGGAGAAGGCACGCUGAUAUGUAGGUGAAGUCCCUCGCGGAUGGAGCUGAAAUCAGUCGAAGAUACCAGCUGGCUGCAACUGUUUAUUAAAAACACAGCACUGUGCAAACACGAAAGUGGACGUAUACGGUGUGACGCCUGCCCGGUGCCGGAAGGUUAAUUGAUGGGGUCAGCGCAAGCGAAGCUCUUGAUCGAAGCCCCGGUAAACGGCGGCCGUAACUAUAACGGUCCUAAGGUAGCGAAAUUCCUUGUCGGGUAAGUUCCGACCUGCACGAAUGGCGUAAUGAUGGCCAGGCUGUCUCCACCCGAGACUCAGUGAAAUUGAACUCGCUGUGAAGAUGCAGUGUACCCGCGGCAAGACGGAAAGACCCCGUGAACCUUUACUAUAGCUUGACACUGAACAUUGAGCCUUGAUGUGUAGGAUAGGUGGGAGGCUUGGAAGUGUGGACGCCAGUCUGCAUGGAGCCGACCUUGAAAUACCACCCUUUAAUGUUUGAUGUUCUAACGUUGACCCGUAAUCCGGGUUGCGGACAGUGUCUGGUGGGUAGUUUGACUGGGGCGGUCUCCUCCUAAAGAGUAACGGAGGAGCACGAAGGUUGGCUAAUCCUGGUCGGACAUCAGGAGGUUAGUGCAAUGGCAUAAGCCAGCUUGACUGCGAGCGUGACGGCGCGAGCAGGUGCGAAAGCAGGUCAUAGUGAUCCGGUGGUUCUGAAUGGAAGGGCCAUCGCUCAACGGAUAAAAGGUACUCCGGGGAUAACAGGCUGAUACCGCCCAAGAGUUCAUAUCGACGGCGGUGUUUGGCACCUCGAUGUCGGCUCAUCACAUCCUGGGGCUGAAGUAGGUCCCAAGGGUAUGGCUGUUCGCCAUUUAAAGUGGUACGCGAGCUGGGUUUAGAACGUCGUGAGACAGUUCGGUCCCUAUCUGCCGUGGGCGCUGGAGAACUGAGGGGGGCUGCUCCUAGUACGAGAGGACCGGAGUGGACGCAUCACUGGUGUUCGGGUUGUCAUGCCAAUGGCACUGCCCGGUAGCUAAAUGCGGAAGAGAUAAGUGCUGAAAGCAUCUAAGCACGAAACUUGCCCCGAGAUGAGUUCUCCCUGACUCCUUGAGAGUCCUGAAGGAACGUUGAAGACGACGACGUUGAUAGGCCGGGUGUGUAAGCGCAGCGAUGCGUUGAGCUAACCGGUACUAAUGAACCGUGAGGCUUAACCUU